CCUACGGGGGGCAGCAGUGGGGGAUAUUGCACAAUGGGGGGAACCCUGAUGCAGCGACGCCGCGUGGGUGAAGAAGCGCCUCGGCGCGUAAAGCCCUGUCAGCAGGGAAGAAAUGACGGUACCUGAAGAAGAAGCCCCGGCUAACUACGUGCCAGCAGCCGCGGGAAUACGUAGGGGGUAAGCGUUAACGGGAUUUACUGGGUGUAAAGGGGGCGCAGACGGCGAUGCAAGCCAGGAGUGAAAGCCCGGGGCCCAACCCCGGGACUGCUCUUGAAACUGCGUGGCUGGAGUGCAGGAGGGGCAGGCGGAAUUCCUGGUGUAGCGGUGAAAUGCGUAGAUAUCAGGAGGAACACCGGUGGCGAAGGCGGCCUGCUGGACUGCAACUGACGUUGAGGCCCGAAAGCGUGGGGAGCAAACAGGAUUAGAUACCCUUGUAGUC
rnacentral:rRNA from 1 species